AGCUUGCUCCUUUGACGUUAGCGGCGGACGGGUGAGUAACACGUGGGUAACCUACCUAUAAGACUGGGAUAACUUCGGGAACCGGAGCUAAUACCGGAUAAUAUUUCGAACCGCAUGGUUCGAUAGUGAAAGAUGGUUUUGCUAUCACUUAUAGAUGGACCCGCGCCGUAUUAGCUAGUUGGUAAGGUAACGGCUUACCAAGGCGACGAUACGUAGCCGACCUGAGAGGGUGAUCGGCCACACUGGAACUGAGACACGGUCCAGACUCCUACGGGAGGCAGCAGUAGGGAAUCUUCCGCAAUGGGCGAAAGCCUGACGGAGCAACGCCGCGUGAGUGAUGAAGGUCUUCGGAUCGUAAAACUCUGUUAUUAGGGAAGAACAUACGUGUAAGUAACUAUGCACGUCUUGACGGUACCUAAUCAGAAAGCCACGGCUAACUACGUGCCAGCAGCCGCGGUAAUACGUAGGUGGCAAGCGUUAUCCGGAAUUAUUGGGCGUAAAGCGCGCGUAGGCGGUUUUUUAAGUCUGAUGUGAAAGCCCACGGCUCAACCGUGGAGGGUCAUUGGAAACUGGAAAACUUGAGUGCAGAAGAGGAAAGUGGAAUUCCAUGUGUAGCGGUGAAAUGCGCAGAGAUAUGGAGGAACACCAGUGGCGAAGGCGACUUUCUGGUCUGUAACUGACGCUGAUGUGCGAAAGCGUGGGGAUC
rnacentral:rRNA from 1 species